GAACGCUGGCGGCGUGCUUAACACAUGCAAGUCGAGCGGAAAGGCCCUUCGGGGUACUCGAGCGGCGAACGGGUGAGUAACACGUGAGUAACCUGCCCCUGACUCUGGGAUAAGCCUGGGAAACCGGGUCUAAUACCGGAUACGACCAUUUCUCGCAUGAGAUGGUGGUGGAAAGUUUUUUCGGUUGGGGAUGGGCUCGCGGCCUAUCAGCUUGUUGGUGGGGUGAUGGCCUACCAAGGCGACGACGGGUAGCCGGCCUGAGAGGGCGACCGGCCACACUGGGACUGAGACACGGCCCAGACUCCUACGGGAGGCAGCAGUGGGGAAUAUUGCGCAAUGGGCGGAAGCCUGACGCAGCGACGCCGCGUGGGGGAUGACGGCCUUCGGGUUGUAAACCUCUUUCAGCAGGGACGAAGUUGACGUGUACCUGUAGAAGAAGCGCCGGCUAACUACGUGCCAGCAGCCGCGGUAAUACGUAGGGCGCGAGCGUUGUCCGGAAUUAUUGGGCGUAAAGAGCUCGUAGGUGGCUU
rnacentral:rRNA from 1 species